UCCCAAGUAUCAAUAGAUGAUCUUAAGUGAGAGACCAACUCUGAAAGAAAGGAGAUACUGUGUGCCAUGAUUACACAGUUAAAAUCCUCCCGCCGCCAGGAGAACAGGUCUUAGUGGAGGCGAUGGUGACGUUAACCUGCAUUGUGUCCAAUCUUCCUUCUGUAGUCAGCGUCACCUGGAUAGAAGAAAAGAAGCCUCUGAAAUUAGAAAUUGCUGACCAGCCUGGACAGAAUCCCGACAGCGUGUUCAUCAAAUUAGACGUUUCUACUGAAGCCUGGCUGAGUGGCGUUACUUUUGAAUGUGUACCACAGAAUCUACCGACUCCGCUGAGAGACUCCAUCCACAAGGAGAAAGUGAUCAAUCCAUGGGAGCCAUCAGUGUCUGUGCUCCUGCCAACAACAGAAGAAAUCUCCACUGAAAGGGUUCUCUCCCUCACCUGUUUAGUGAGAGGUUUCUCCUCCCGAGGGAUCUUCGUCAAGUGGACAAACAAUGGCGAGCCUGUAAAUCCCAGUAACUACAAGAACACCGAGGUAAUAGCGGAGAGCGACAUCACCUCCUUCUUCAUGUCCAGCCUGUUAUCCAUUACAGCGGAAGACUGGGCCAGCAGUGCUUCUUACUCCUGUGUGGUGGGACUUGAAGUGAUUCCGUUGAAGAUCAUCAACAGAACAGUCAAUAAAUCUAGCGGUAAACCGAGUUUUGUAAACAUUUCGCUUGCACUGAUGGACACUGUUAAUUCAUGUCAAUAAAAAUC